AUGAAAGUAGCUCGCUGUGCUCAAAAACAGUCUGGUUAUCUUAAUAUUUUAAUGUGUUUCUCAUUUUACCUAUAUUUCAUAUAUGUCCACAGUUUUACAUUGUGCCACACUGUGAAACGAAUGAAGAAAGAAAAGAAAGAUGAAAUAAAAGAGAGCAGUGCGCUUCAGUGGAUGGAGCUCCCCCUCUGUGACCUUUGUUCACGCCCAGGCCAGGUAAGAUCACGUGGUUGGUCUCCCGGGGAGGAGGGGCAGCGCGGGAGGGCGGGGGCUUGUUGUUGUUUAGUCGUGUCCGACUCUUUGUGACCCCCUGGACCAGAGCAUGCCAGGCCCUCCUGUCUUCCACGGGCUCCUAGAGUUUGGUCAAAGUCACAUUGGUCACUUCGAUGACCCUGUCCAGCCGUCUCGUCCUCUGUCGUCCCCUUCUCCUCUUGCCUGCACACUUUCCCAGCAUCAGCAUCUUUUCCAGGGGGUCUUCUCAUGAGAGGGCCAAAGGAUUGGAGCCUCAGUUUCAGGAUCUGUCCUUCCAGUGAGCACUCAGGGUUGAUUUCCUUCAAAAUUGAUAGGUUUGUUCUCCUUGCAGUCCAGGGGACUCUCAAGAGUCUCCUCCAGCACCACAAUUCAAAAGCAUCAAUUCUUCAGUGGUCAGCCUUCUUUAUGGUCCAGCUCUCACUUCCAUACAUCAUGACUGGAAAAAAACCAUACCUUUGAUUAUGCAGAGCUUUGUAGGCAAGGUGAUGUCUCUGCUUUUUAAGAUGCUCUCUAGGUUUGUCAUUGCUUUCCUCCCAAGAAGAAGGCGCCUUUUGAUUUCAUGGCUGCUAUCACCAUCUGCAGUGAUCAUGGAGGUCAAGAAAGUAAAAUCUGUCACGUCACUUCCAUACAUCAUGACUGGAAAAAAACCAUACCUUUGAUUAUGCAGAGCUUUGUAGGCAAGGUGAUGUCUCUGCUUUUUAAGAUGCUCUCUAGGUUUGUCAUUGCUUUCCUCCCAAGAAGAAGGCGCCUUUUGAUUUCAUGGCUG
rnacentral:lncRNA from 1 species